GGCCGGUUGGCCCAAUGGUAAGGCGUCUGACUACGAUUCAAUUACAAUCGCAAAUCAGGAGAUUCUGGGUUCGAGCCCCAGGCUGGUCA